rnacentral:rRNA from 1 species
CAUUUAAAGAAAGCGUAAUAGCUCACUGGUCGAGUCGGCCUGCGCGGAAGAUGUAACGGGGCUAAACCAUGCACCGAAGCUGCGGCAGCGACGCUUAUGCGUUGUUGGGUAGGGGAGCGUUCUGUAAGCCUGUGAAGGUGUGUCGUGAGGCAUGCUGGAGGUAUCAGAAGUGCGAAUGCUGACAUAAGUAACGAUAAAGCGGGUGAAAAGCCCGCUCGCCGGAAGACCAAGGGUUCCUGUCCAACGUUAAUCGGGGCAGGGUGAGUCGACCCCUAAGGCGAGGCCGAAAGGCGUAGUCGAUGGGAAACGGGUUAAUAUUCCCGUACUUGGUGUUACUGCGAAGGGGGGACGGAGAAGGCUAUGUUGGCCGGGCGACGGUUGUCCCGGUUUAAGCGUGUAGGUGUGUGUUCCAGGUAAAUCCGGUUCACUUUAACACUGAGGCGUGAUGACGAGGCACUACGGUGCUGAAGCAACAAAUGCCCUGCUUCCAGGAAAAGCCUCUAAGCAUCAGGUAACAUCAAAUCGUACCCCAAACCGA